rnacentral:rRNA from 1 species
AUUGAACGCUGGCGGCAUGCCUUACACAUGCAAGUCGAACGGCAGCAUAGGAGCUUGCUCCUGAUGGCGAGUGGCGAACGGGUGAGUAAUAUAUCGGAACGUGCCCUAGAGUGGGGGAUAACUAGUCGAAAGACUAGCUAAUACCGCAUACGAUCUACGGAUGAAAGUGGGGGAUCGCAAGACCUCAUGCUCCUGGAGCGGCCGAUAUCUGAUUAGCUAGUUGGUGGGGUAAAAGCCUACCAAGGCGACGAUCAGUAGCUGGUCUGAGAGGACGAACAGCCACCCUGGGACGGAGACAAGGCCCAGACUCCUACGGGAGGCAGCAGUGGGGAAUUUUAGACAAUGGGGGCAACCCUGAUCCAGCAAUGCCGCGUGAGUGAAGAAGGCCUUCGGGUUGUAAAACUCUUUUGUCAGGGAAGAAACGGUAGUAGCUAAUAUCUACUACUAAUGACGGUACCUGAAGAAUAAGCACCGGCUAACUACGUGCCAGCAGCCGCCGUAAGAC